GGGCCGGUAGGUAAACGGCAUACCGCUCCGUUCGCAAUGGAGAGUUCCGAGUUCAAUUCUCGGCCGGUCCA
rnacentral:tRNA from 1 species